UAGAAAGCAUCUCCAAGCUUGAUUGCCUUCC
rnacentral:piRNA from 1 species